rnacentral:rRNA from 1 species
AUCCUACGGGGGGCAGCAGUGAGGAAUAUUGGUCAAUGGGCGGGAGCCUGAACCAGCCAAGCCGCGUGAGGGAAGAAGGUACAGCGUAUCGUAAACCUCUUUUGUCAGGGAACAAAGGCGGGGACUAGUCCCCGGAUGAGGGUACCUGAAGAAAAAGCAUCGGCUAACUCCGUGCCAGCAGCCGCGGUAAUACGGAGGAUGCGAGCGUUAUCCGGAUUUAUUGGGUGUAAAGGGUGCGUAGACGGGAUGUCAAGUUAGUUGUGAAAUACCUCGGCUCAACUGAGGAACUGCAACUAAAACUAACA